AAAUAAGUCUGCAGUAUUGCAUCUUAAGAAUCCGGAGUUGUUUGCAGCCUAUCUGAAGGUCCUCGAGCAUUUGGUCAGUAAGCAGGACACAACCAGAAAUAUCCAAAAUGUGCAGAACUGAGGGAAGGACCUGGGCUGUUGGAUCACUUGAUGCCAUCAGGAUGACUCCAGAGCCAGCAUCCAUGAAUCCAGAAGCAAUGUUCCAGACUUCCAGUUUCCAGUCUGUCCUGAGAGUUUGGAACUUAUCACUUCUAUCCUCAAAAGAAGAAAAAAGGCCACUAGAAAAUGUGUGCAUUAAUUGGGACUGAGAAGAAAAUGUACUUUGCAACUACCUACUUUUAUACAGUUGUCCGUCAGAGUUGGCAUGUCGUUGAUGGUCAGAUGCAUAAUUCCAGUGCAGCUGUUUCCAAUGUUCCUGAAGCCUUGGACUGAAAUCUGAAUCGUACAAAGUAGGUGAAAAUGAUGGUAGAACUCAUUAGCAUGACAGCUAAUAAAACCCGAAUGAAGUCGUAAGCAAAGGUAUGUCAUGAUGUUGCUACCAUAUUUUAAAACUGGAACCAUAAAAUAUGACAGACAUAAGAGGUAAAGAAUCUAGUCUUGAUUUCUUUACUAUUUAAUUUCUUAUAUGUAUAUUAUGCAAUGAUCAUCACAAUAGGUCUAGUUAACUUAUUGUUUAAUUGUUUUAUUGAGGCAAAAUUCACAUAACGUAAAAUUAGUCACUUAAAUGGACCCUUAACCAUUCAUGAUCUUAUGCAACCACAACCUCUAUAUGGUUCCAAAAUAUUUUUAUCACCCUAAAAGGAAACUGAAUCUAUUAAGCAGUUGCUCCUUAUACUCCCCUUUUCCUAGCCCCCAGCAAUCAUUAAUCUGGGUUCUGUCUCUGUGGAUUUACCUCUUCUAAAUAUUUCACAGAAGUAGAAUCAUAUAGUAUAUGGCCUUUUGUGUCUUCUCUCUUUCACUUAGCAUAAUGUUUUUGAGGUUCAUCCAUGGUGUAGCAUGUAUCAGUACCUUAUUCAUUUUUAUGGCUGAAUAAUAUUCUAUUGAAUGAAUAUACGGCAUUUUGUUCAUCCAUUCAUCUAUUGAUGGAUAUUUGAGCUGUUUCCAUCUUUUGGAUAUUUUGAACAGUGCUGCUAUGAACAUAUAUGUGCAUCUAUUUGUUUGAGUACCAGUUUUCAAUUGUUUUGGGUAUAUAUGUAGGAGUGGAAUUCCUGGACCCUAUGGUAAUUCUAUGUUUAACUGUUUUAAGGAACCACCAAAAUGUUUUUUACAGUGAUUGCACCAUUUUACGUUCCAACCAGCAAUCUAAUAGUGUUCCCACUUCUCCACAUCUUUGCCAACAUUAUUUUUCAUUUUCCCAUGUUUUUCUUUUUUUUAAGUUUUUAUUUAUUUAUUUUGAGAGAGAGAGUACACAAGUUAGGGAGGGGCAGAGAGAGAGAAUCCCAAGCAGACUCUGGGCUGUCAGUGCAGAGCCGACAUGGGGCUUGAACUCACAAACCUGUGAGAUCAUGACCUGAGCCAAAAUCAAGAGUCAGAUGCUCAACCAACUGAGCCACGCAGGCACAAUGCAUGGCCACAUUUUUAUCCAUAUCAGCAUCUUUGAGAUUAUCCACCCUAUCUGGCACCACUAAGUGCCUGAACGAGGCAUAACUAAAAAGAAAGCUUUAAGAUUUUAUUGUUGCUUCACAUUGCUAAGUUAAAACAGAAACCCUCAAGCCCUUAAAGUUCUGAUCCAAAAUACUUAAUAAAGGAAUUUCAGUUUCUUAAAGUUAAAUAACUAAAUUAGGAGGGGAAACAUUCCAUUUUUAAAUGCAUGUGAAUGAGUAUUAUUUAACUUGUGUAGCUGUGUGAGAAAGUGUUUUCAGCCCUGUUAGAGUUCUCAUAAAGUGAAUGUGAUUGUACCAUGUUAUGGAAGUCACAGCUCAUAAGUGACUCCUCACAUGUGAUGACAUAUUACAAAAUGCCUGGAGGUGGGAACAGCAGAAGAGACAGGCUAUCAUAAAGAUCUUGGACUUCUCUUAUAGACUGAGGUAGCCUCCAGGAGAUGUGGAAACAAAGUAUCAGGUUCCUUGAUCAGUUUUCUCCAGAUUACAAAUUGACAGAACAAGAACACAGAUGUUCAAACUCUUAAUCCAAUGUUCCUUCUGAUGAACAUUCUUCAACAAUAACAUCCAUUUCAACUGUCCCACCCCACAUGCCGUAGUUCUUUAGACUUAGCUGCUCCAGCCAGAAAGACAUCUUACUUCUCCAGUACUCAGUGGACCUCUCUGUUCUUUGUCUGACCUUGUACCUCCCUUUGCCUCUUUCUCUUUUCAUCUAUUCAAGCCUUAACUAUGUCUCAAGUUCCAAUGACUCCAGCUACUUUCCUUCUCUUUCCCUUACAAGCCUAAAACUCUUUAUUUUAGCCAUAACUCUUUCCUAUAACCUGCAUGUCUUAAUUCCCCCAAGGAGAUGAUCUUACACUCUUUUUAAACUUCUUACUGUGUUGGACAACUAUCUGUGGCUAAAUGAAUUAAAUUUAGGAGUAAGACAAAUAACGUCUGGGAAAGAGUACAGAAUUUGGCUACAGAAAAAACCAAAAACAAUUCCAAGUCGAAGGUAAAGCACAAAAGUGAAAGGAAAGCAGGGGGAGCACUGGACUUGGAUGAAGUGGCAAGGUCACCCCUGGGAUGAAUAGGAAAAGGUAAGGAGGGAGGGAAAGCUAAUGGAAGACCCAUAAGGCAAGAGUGAGAUAUUUUGUAUUGUACUGUCAUGGAUUCUUGAAUAAGUUUCCAUAAGUAUUCCCAGAGAAAGGUCCAGGGGAGAUGAAUAAACAUUAAAAAUCUGGAGAUCAGAGGAGGGAAGAAUGUUGGGCUUAGAAUCAGCAGAGCUGGGUUGGAAUCUGGCUCUGUUUCUUUGUCACUUGUAACACAAGGCAACUCAACCUCUCUGACACCUAGUCUUCCCAUCUGUAAAGUGGGGAUUAUCAUAUGGGUAUAUUAUUAAUAAUUCUAAUUAAUAUUGAUAUAAUAAUGGUAAUUGAUAAUGUAAUGGUUCAUUAAUUAUAAUUAUUAAUAACAUCUGUUUUAGGAGAUACUUGGGAAAACAAAAUGGGGUAAUGUGUAUGUAAAAGUGGUCAGUUAGCACAAUGUCUGGCAUGAAAUACUGGAUACCAGUUUUCUUAUUAGUGUUCUUCUGGGUGCAUUGUGUUCCCACAGAGAAGUACAGAUUCGUGACCUAGAGAUAGAGGAGCUUGAGAGAUCAUUCUAGUGCAUCCCUCACAUUGCAAAAAUAAAGAAAUAGUAUUCAGAGAAGUAGUGUGAUUUGAGAACAGGUUCUUUAUCUGUUCUUCAUGUCCCCAGUGUCCCCAGUGCUGGACAGUGUCAGACAGAGUGAGUGCUCCAUAAGUGCUGAAUGAAUGAAUGAAUGGUCUUGAGUCACAUCAUCUAUGGCAGAGCGAAGGCUAGAGGCCACCUCUCCCCAUCUGACCCACAAUUCCAGGGAUGGGAAUAGUUGGGUUUUUUUAAUAUGAAAUUUAUUGUCAAAUUGGUUUCCAUACAACACCCAGUGCUCAUCCCAACAGGUGCCCUCCUCAGUGCCCAUCACCCACCCUCCCCUCCCUCCCACCCCCCAUCAACCCUCAGUUUAUUCUCAGUUUUUAAGAGUCUCUUAUGGGAAUAGUUGUUUUUUACAACACUUCUAAAUUUCUCUCCUUUCUCUCAGCCCUGGUCUAUUACCCUAGCACUAUUAUUUCCAAUAAUGGCUUCCCCUAAAACACAAGAUAAAAAAAAUUAAAAAAUUAAAAAAACCUUUUCUCUCUUGCUGUCUUGGAGACAUAUUUAUGACAAGAUUUUCUGAACAAGGGAAAAAAUUAUAGCAGUAAUCAGCCACAGCUGAGUGAUUCCUUGCAGCACAGCCAAACGCUUGGUGCUAUCAACCAAUAAGACUGUGUCCAGAAAAGGGGUGGGGGAAACCUCUAAGAAGAGCUUUUUAGUUUUGUCCUGGCAUGAAAUGCUUAGUUCUCUACACAGUUUAUUUUAGAAUGUCCAAAAAGAUGCUUGGCUAAUACUUUAUGACUCAAAUAUUCUCGCCACAGUCUUUUAGGCCAACCAACUAUUAACUUGUCCUUUCUCUUCACUGAAAUAAUGGGAAUAUAAGCCUGAGAGUAACAAUCCCUCUCGAAGGGGAAAAAAAGUAUUUUACCAUGUUAAAACACCAGGCUUUGCCACAGCUGAUACAUGUGUAUCGUGUGUUUAAUAUUCUUACAAAACUCGGGAUCUAAUCUCACUGUGUUUCCUUGCGAGGUGAUUUGGACUUCAGUUUUGAUACCAAGUGGAGCCCUGCCACCCUGCUCUUUGCUGUCAAACCCCCGUUGGUUAGGUAAUUGGGGGAGCUGGCCACACCAAUGCCAUCAUAAUCGCAAGUCCCAGCAGACAGCUACUGCUGCUAAUGGGGGCAGAGAAGCUUUGGUGAUCAUAGGAAAUCCUCUCCAGCUGCCUCUGGGUGGGUCUGAACCCAUGAGCAGGACAGGACAGAGCUGUCUGAGGAGGAAAUGAGUUGUCAGUGAGCCACACGAAAUGAAGACCAAAGCGUUGAGCACCAAGGACUAGCUCACAUCCCGCUUUGCUGCUGCAAGAUGGUAAAAAGAAGGAAGGAACUUAUCUCAGGGAGAAUAACAUAUUACUAAGCUUCCACUUUCCACUUCUUUAAAACACUGAACCAGUUAGCUCAGCAACACAGAAAGGAGAUGUAUGUAGGGCCAGAGCCUCUAUGACAGCUAGAAAUAUCCAUCUUAGGUAGACAUUGCCCAAGUUGUGUUCCUAUACCAUUUCCAGCUGUUUCUCUCAUUUGAACAACACUGUAACCCAUGACUAAUGGGUAAUGUAAUGACUUUAGUCAUAUCCAUAUAUCCUUCAUGACCUCCUGGUGACCUCAGAGAAGCCUGGCUUAGCAAGUAGAAUGAAUUGUUGGAGAGAAAGACAAAGAUUUUUCCCCAAAACAUGGAACACUUUGUUUUAUUCCAUUCAAAUGUGCCACAGACUUCUAAAAUAGCAACAGUUCCCAGGGUCUGUGCUAAAAGGGCUUGACAGGCUUUCAUAUAUUGUGUCCUCUGUGAUGACAAGAAGAGAGGCCUCGUUAUAACUGCUUAGAUGAUGCUUUACUUUCCAGUCUAUAUAUUCUUCAUGGCUACCCCCUCCUCUACGUUUGCUAAUGUACUUCUCCUAGGUAGCCCUCCCUGACCACUUCAGGUAGAACUGUUUCUUCCUCUUGGAUCUCAGAGCACCAAACAGUAUAGCCUUAAGUUUGAAUUUUGUAUCCUCUCCCUUGUAUAAUAAUUACGUGUACACAUGUUUACCAUUCCUGCCCAGGAACACAGACAGAAUUUUCUCCACCAUGCCCUUCACAGUACCACACAAGUGCUUGGCACUGAGUAUGAUACUACAACUGUUUGUUAGUAGAUCAAGUCAUUGAAUAAACUGUUGUAGAAUGUAAAUGAGAAUUAAUAGUUCUAAGGCAGGGUAAGGGUAAUAAUACGGUCAUUUGUUAAAGAUUGCUGUAUUUAUCUAAAAACAUUGAAACACCAAACAUAAAAAAGAAAGUUUCAUUUUCCGAUGUGAGUGGGGAAUUAGAAUACAAGAUUAGUGAAGGCUCCAGAUGCCAGGAAGGCAGGCAUGCCAACUCUGUGCACUCACUGCACAAUGACUGUGAGCUGUGACCUGCCGAAGUAGGCUUGACCCUUCUUACACUUCAUCAUUCUUGUUUAGCGUACACCAUCUUCUUCUUUUCCUCACCCAAUGGCCAAAUUGCUCACAGCUCCUCCUGUACGAUAAAUGGAGCUUCAUCUCCCUUUUAACCAAGAGAAUCACAACCAUAAUACUUUUUAUUACAACACAAUGAUCCACAGAGCUACUUGAUUUGUCUAGACUUAUUGAGCUAGAUGGUGGCUUUAUAGCUACCAUUGUAACCAUAGGCUUCACUGGGGGCCCAAGACCCAAGUAGAGUUUUGUGAAGAGUUGAUGAAAUUCUGUAUGUAAGUCACAUCCUAAGAGAAGGAGCAGAGAAGAAACUGAAAGAAGGAUGGUUUUUCAGAAAGCCCUAAAGUUUUUCCAAGCCUUUUUUUAGGAGUGCGAAACAUGAUCUUAGUCCCCUAAGACUCAUCAUUUUGUCAUCUGAUUCUUCAAGAUCUAAAAAUUGUUGCCAGAUGUUUCAUUUGUUACUGCUUAAUGUAAUAAACAUCCUUACACAUUUUGCCUACAAAGAGAUUGCAUUAAGCUAUGGAUGUUAGCAGUAGAUGUUUGUUAUAUUUAUUUUUUAUUUUCAAUAUGGCUAGCAUAAAGUUAUAUUCAAACUCAUAACAACCAUUUAAAUUUAGAUGAGCCCUAUCUACAAGAUAUGUAAAAUGAUUUUCCUGUUCAACACAGUUCAAAGUAUAAUUCAGAAAGGUCAUAAAGCAUUCCUUUAACAGGGAAACUGAGACACAAGACCUGACUGAGAAAAGCAGAAAUUGCGCUGUGGUUUUUCUGAUUCAUGACUGAUUUUCCACUAGAACCCCUUCAUAUUAAUGACACUUAAGACCACAAAAUAUUUUUUUCAAAUAGAAAAAAGUGCAACUUUUUUUUCCUUUUUUACUGUAUGCAGUAUAUAGCACUUCACAGUUUUACAAAUGAUAGUCUAGUUGUAUAGAGCCUGGUAUUCAGAAUUAGUUGGAUCAAGGUUAUCAUUUUGGCCCAGACACUUUUUGUGUGACCUUAGGCAAGUUACUUUAUCUUAGCACCAUUUUCAAUAGUGUGUGGGGCCAGUUUAUACCAGUUUGCAAGUGCAAGUUGUUAAAUUUGUAGGAACUCUGCAAGCCUAUUGUUAAAGACAGUCAUAUUAAAAAUUAAGUCAUAUAAACUUAAAAUUAAAAUUAAAUAAGUUCUAUUAACAAAGGUAGUGAAUAUUCCAACUCAUCAAUUCCUAAUUAUGUUAUUACAUGUUACCAUUUCCUAUGCUCUUGAGGAUAUUUGUGUGUAUUGGAUGUAUACAGCGACAGCAUUACAUAACAGUUACAUAACAUUACAUCACUCUUUUUUCAGUGACUUCUCAUUGGCAAGUUGAAAUAGGUCAUGGUGAGAGUAUUUACACCAUGGAAAUCAGCAACCAUUGCAAAUCAGGGCUUUCUCUGCUUCCUGCCAGUUGUUAAAUGUUUACCAGCACAUGAUUUUUCAGUUUUCACAUCUCUAAAAUGGGAAUAAUGAUACCUACCUCAUACAGUUAUGUAUAAAGAUUAAAUCAGAUAAUAAAUGUAAAACACUUACCUCAACACCUAGCACCAAGUCGGUACCCAAACAAAUGACAGCAAUUAUUAUCACCAUCCAUUAAAAUACAGAAUAAGGGAAAAUGGAAUCAAACAAAUGUAAAUGAAUCAUAAUUUUGAAUUAACUGUUGACAAUUCAUUUUGGUACAUAGUCUGCUUAUUCAUAACUGGUUUAGCUGGUCACACAACUCUUAUUGUUCCAAUUGCCCCUUAUUGGUAACCUAGCAAAUCUGUACAUCCACUCUCAGCUCUGUGCCAAGGACCAGACUUCUACACAGAAACACAAAAUUCUCAAGCUGAAAAGGAUCUCAGAGAUCAUUCAGCCCAAACUAGCCAUUCUACAGAUAAAGGAACUGAGGCAGAAAACCUAAGUAACCGUUCAGAGUUGCACAAGAGGGUAGUGGCACAGCAAGGACUAGAUCCCAGGUGUCCCAAGUCCAGCUUGGGGCCCCUUUCACCAUCCCACUGCCUUCUGCUGCAGGAGAGAGAGAAAGAAAGAGAAAUCCCUUUCCACUCUUACUUUGCUUAUGCAAUCUCCCUUCCAUUUGGCCAGUACAUUCAUUCCUGGACAUGCCUCUGUGUCUUUCUCCCACCUCCACCACAAUCCCCAGAGGUGAACAAGUAAAACCUUCCAUGAUCUUUGCCUUUCUAGAAGGGGAGUCUGUAAUUUAUGUAGCCUAGAGAGGACUGAAAUGACCUUGGAAUCUUCCUGUUUGCAGUUUGCACAGCCUACCUUUAAGAUCCAUGGGUCCCAGAGAGACUUAGCAGUACAAGAACUACUGAUAAACCAUUAUUAUUGUGUUGAGUCAUUUGAACAUUUCUGGGAUGCUGUCCCUUUUCAUUUUUGUUGACUUGGGUGUAGUGACUAAAAAAUAAUUGAUGAAAAAGUACUUUCACUGUAGUAUUUCAUAUUUUCCUAAGCUCUUUUCUUCCCCUAAAUCUAAAGCAAUGUGAAAUUCCCCCCUUACCAAGAAAAGACUAUCAGACUUUGCUCUGGCAAGUUGCUAACUUCUCAGCUUCCUAACAGACUUCUUGAGCUUCCACCUGAAGCAUCUGGCUGGCCACACCCUGAAAUUGGCUGCCACUUAUUUCGUUCAUUCAUUCACUUGUUCAUGAAACGUUGAUCAAAGUCCUACUCCUACUACAUGCAAGGUAUUUACUGUAUUAUGUGCUAAGGAUAACAAAUACACAGAUAAAUAAGGCACCAUCCUGGCCAUCAAGGAGGCCAUGAUGGGGAGGACAGCAGACAAAAAAGUAAACCACUGAAUAUGUAGAGAAUGCUUAGUGAAAGUACAAUAAUAAAAGAACAAACAGGAAGGAUCAUAACCUAGCUUGAGUUGGGGGAAAAGGAGGGGGUCAGUGAGAACUUCCUAGAGAAAGAAGGUUGUGAUUGAACAAAGCCUCAAAGGAUGCAUAAAAACUAAUCUGGUGAAUGGGAGAAAGGGACAAUAUGAGGAUCACUCUAGAUGCUGGGUUGAGAGUAGACUUGUAGGAGGCAGAAGUGAAAGCAGAGAGACCAAUUAGGAGGUUGUCAUAAUCAGUGCCAAAAUGGCCAGUGCCAGACACCCCAAGGCAAGAGCUCAUGUGUUGAAAGAACAGCAAGGAAACCAGUGUGCCCGGAACAGACUUGGUAAGUGGCAGACCAGUAGGAAUUAAUGCCAGAAGGGCAGUUGGGGGAGAAAACAGAUUACAUAGGGUCUUGAAGUUUCUUCCAAGGUUUUUCUUUUAAUGAGUGGGUAGGAUGCCUCACCAGGUGUUUGAGAAGAGGAAGGACAUUGACUUGGGCAGAGGGUACAAGGUGAGCCUAAUAAAACACCUGAGGCUGGAAGUGAAGAACAGGGGAGGCACAGAGGCAAAAGCUUCUAUUGCAAGCUCUCUUAUUCUCUUGUUUAACUCUCAUAUCUGAAAAUAUAAAUCUGAAUCUUGGCCUUCACCUGGCUCUGUCUCUCACUCUGUUCAGAGUUGUUGGUUUCUGGGCAUUUGGGUUUCAGCCUGAGAUUGGCUACAACCCUAGCCUUCCUUCCCAGCAUAGCUGUCAUUGUUCUGUGCUUGGCUUCCUACACAGUGUCAUAACCCAUGGCUACAUGCAUUUGGGGAUACAUAAAUCAGUAGGAGAAGUGGCCACCCAAAGUUAAUAUCAACAGGAGAAUCCUUGGACUUACAAACAGACAAAGGAUAAAGGGAAAGCAUAACCAGCAAUCACUGCCCUCCUCAUAGGGACUUUCUCAUGUAAAACUAGAAAAGCUUUGUCUUCUCCAUUAAAAUUUUUCAUCCUACCCAUAUUUUCUAUUUUGAGAUUUUCAAAGAAACAAGAACUUUUGGAGAGUACUGAAAUUAACAGGGAGUGAUGUAGAUAUCUUAAGAGCAUUUUAGCUGAUACCUUUUUAUCUACUCAUUCAUCAUGGGGGCAUGUGAGGAAAGUCUCAAAGGAGGGGAGGAAGUUAGCCAUACAGAUAGCUGCAGAAGGAGUAUUCCAGGCAAGGAAAAUGGCCAGUGUCCAGUAGCAAAUACCCUGAGUCAAGAGCUCAUGUGUUGAAAGAACAGCAAGGAAACCAGUGUGACUAGAAUAGACUUGGUAAGUGGGAGAGCAGUAGGAAUUAAUGCCUGAAGGGCAGUUGGGGGAGAAGACAGAUUACCUAGGGUCUUAAAAGUCCUUCCAAGAUGUCUCUUUUAUUGAAUGAAUAGGAUGCCUCGCCAGGUAUUUGAGAAGAGGAAGGACAUUGACUUGGGUUUGAAAAGCCACACUCUAGAUACUGGGUGAGGGGCGCCUGGGUUGCUCAGUCGGUUGGGUGUCCGACUUCAGCUCAGGUCACGAUCUCGCAGUCCGUGAGUUCGAGCCCCGCAUCGGGCUCUGGGCUGAUGGCUCAGAGCCUGGAGCCUGCUUCCAAUUCUGUGUCUCCCUCUCUCUCUGCCCCUCCCCCGUUCAUGCUCUGUCUC